UACGUAGGGUGCGAGCGUUAAUCGGAAUUACUGGGCGUAAAGCGUGCGCAGGCGGUUUGUAAGCCAGAUGUGAAAGCCCCGGGCUUAACCUGGGAAUGGCAUUUGGGACUGCAAGGCUUGAGUGCGGCAGAGGAGACUGGAAUUCCUGGUGUAGCAGUGAAAUGCGUAGAUAUCAGGAGGAAUACCGAUGGCGAAGGCAGGUCUCUGGGCUGACACUGACGCUCAUGCACGAAAGCGUGGGGAGCAAACAGG
rnacentral:rRNA from 1 species